GGGAGUAGUAGAGAUACUGGGUAAGUAUCAGGGCGCUGUAAACGCUCCGCCGAUGGCUAGUGGUUCGAUUCCAUCUGCUCCCACCA
rnacentral:tRNA from 1 species